rnacentral:rRNA from 1 species
CGGUUGAUCCUGCCGGACCCGACUGCUAUUUGGGUGAGGAUAAGCCAUGCAAGUUGAAUGGGAUGCCUAAACUUCCCAUAGCAAACUGCUCAGUAACACAUGAUCAACUUACCCUAUAGAGAAAAAUAACCUCGGGAAACUGAGGAUAAUGUUUCAUAGUUGAAAAGGCUUGGAAAAGUUUUUCAAUAAAAGGGAUAAGGAAAACGGUUCUUAUUUGCUAUAGGAUAGGAUCGUGGUCGAUUAUGGUUGUUGGUGAGGUAAUGGCUCACCAAGCCGAUAAUCGAUAGGGGCCGUGAGAGCGGGAGCCCCGAGAUGGGUACUGAGACAACGACCCAGGCCUUACGAGGCGCAGCAGGCGCGAAACCUCCGCAAUACACGAAAGUGUGACGGGGUUACCCAAAGUGUUCAAUACUGAACUGUGGUAGGUGAGUAAUGUCCCCUACUAGAAAGGAGAGGGCAAGGCUGGUGGCAGCCGCCGCGGUAAAACCAGCUCUUCAAGUGGUCGGGAUAAUUAUUGGGCUUAAAGUGUCCGUAGCCGGUUUAGUAAGUUCCUGGUAAAAUCGGAUAGCUUAACUAUCCGUAUGCUAGGAAUACUGCUAUACUAGAGGACGGGAGAGGUCUGAGGUACUACAGGGGUAGGGGUGAAAUCUUAUAAUCCUUGUAGGACCACCAGUGGCGAAGGCGUCAGACUGGAACGUGCCUGACGGUGAGGGACGAAAGCCAGGGGAGCGAACCGGAUUAGAUACCUGGGUAGUCCUGGCUGUAAACGAUGCAUACUAGGUGAUGGUACGGCCAUGAGCCGUAUCAGUGCCGUAGGGAAACCGUUAAGUGUGCCGCCUGGGAAGUACGGUCGCAAGGCUAAAACUUAAAGGAAUUGGCGGGGGAGCAC